AUGGGCAGGUCUCUGACUUCUCAUCUAGGGUUCAAAGGGACCUGGGAACUAAAUCCAUCACUCAUCAUCAUUUCUUUCUGUGGAAGGUGGCAGCUUGAAAGAGCACAACUUGGAACACUUCCUCUGCUAUUGAUUUGCAGUAUAACCUUUGUAAUGCCUCAUUUCAGCUACUUACCUCUGCACUCUCAAGCCCUUGCUGUCCAUCAUUCCUCCUGUUGUUGGGUCACCUUUCCCCUCCAUGGUGCUUUCUUGGAUGGAUCCUUCAAGACCACUCUGUCUGCCUCCCGUCUGCAGGGUCCACAUGUGGCCCAACUGGAUAUGCUUUGCUAGACUUUCUCAUCCCAUGUCUCCUCUCUGCUGUUGGUGGAAAAGACUUCUUAAAGCAAGUAUCAAAUGUCGUUUGCUAUGUCCCUCAUCGUCCCAGCAACACGCAUCAAGCUGUUUAAAUGGUCACUUGUUUUGAUUAGCUAGAAUACUUGUCAUCUAAUCUUUUUUCCUCUUGGUUGAUGAGGCAUGGCACUCUGGAGAAUUAAUUACAGAGAAAUCUUUCUGUUGUUAGAAGUCAUUUCAGCCUUUGGCUGCAAAGAAUUGUUUUCUGAUCAUAGACUCUGCUCCUUAAUCCUACCACAGAGAUGAUCUGGCUGAAACAGAUUGUCCUUUGCUUGUGACCAGAAACAAGCAUAUUUUUUUAUUUUGAAUGGCACCAGUGCUGGAUUUCAACCAGAGCCUCUGCUGACACCCCAAGAGCACCCCUUCUCUUUUUUUAGGCUUUUAGCUGGACAAAGCUUUACAUUUUAUCAGGGUUGUCAGUAAUCUACGGCAAGCAGCAGCAUGUUUUACUAGUGCUAAGAAGACUACAUAUCUGUUUGCAUAUGCUGCAUAAAAAAACUCUCCUAAAAGUUACAGCUUAACAAAACAACCAUGGGCUCAAAAUUCUGCAGAUCGCUUAUUUGGACUGGGCUUCUCUGGGGGAUUUUUCUAGUUUGCUAGUCUUCUU
rnacentral:lncRNA from 1 species